UACGAAGGGGGCUAGCGUUGUUCGGAUUUACUGGGCGUAAAGCGCACGUAGGCGGAUUGUUAAGUCGGGGGUGAAAUCCUGGAGCUCAACUCCAGAAUUGCCUUCGAUACUGGCUUUCUAGAGGCUGGAAGAGGUUAGUGGAAUUCCCAGUGUAGAGGUGAAAUUCGUAGAUAUCUGGAGGAACACCGGUGGCGAAGGCGGCAUCCUGGACCGAGAUUGACGCUGAGGCGCGAAAGCCAGGGGAGCAAACGGG
rnacentral:rRNA from 1 species